CAAGAAAGCACCAGCAAAAGGGAAGCGUAAAGAGGUGAUGAUAUUUUCAUAGCUGCUUUUUAUUUAUAUUUUGUUGACGAAGAAAAUGAGUUAAUGUAAUUUUGUUUCUUAAAUAAUUAUUAGCGGGAUGGAGGAGAUAUCCAAGUCGCGGAUAGAGGAGAUACACCAAUCGUAGAAGUAUGCAGGAAUUUAUUUGGCCCUUCUGAGAUGGCUGUUCCAGAAAGAGAAAGCGUGGCUAUAGAUGUUACUGGAACCCAACCCCGAGAGCACUUUGUGAUGCAGAGUCAAGAAAGUAUUCAAUUUGGAUUAGAUAGAUCACAACCGUUGCAAUAAUGGGUUUGUUGUAAAACAUUUUGUGUAUUGAAUGUAUUGUAGGGGUUCUUUUUUUUAUUGAAUGUAUUUGAGGGAGGGACUUUGUUGUAACCAUGGAUUGAAUAUAUUUUGUGUGUAUUUGAUGGACUUUGUUGUUAUGGUUGGGUUGGAGGAACUUUGUUGUGUAUUGGAUAUAUUUUGUGUAUUUGAUAGACUUUGUUGUUAUGGU